rnacentral:misc_RNA from 1 species
GCAAACUUGGUCAUUUAGAGGAAGUAAAAGUCGUAACAAGGUUUCCGUAGGUGAACCUGCGGAAGGAUCAUCACUGAUUCGGGGGGCAGCGUGGGAGACUGCGCUGUGCCCCAACCAAUCUUGUGUGAACCGUAACGCGCGAUCACUGCGUGAGAGAGAGUGGUUGGCCGGGAGGGGGAUCUCUGCCGGCCGCCGCCAUCACGCGAGCACAAUCUCCUGAUUAAUUUGGUCUAACAUUAUAAACAACACAUACACAACUUUUAACAAUGGAUCUCUUGGCUCUCGCAUCGAUGAAGAACGCAGC